AUGCAGUCGAACGGUAACAUUUCUAGCUUGCUAGAAGAUGACGAGUGGCGGACGGGUGAGUAAUGCUUGGGAACUUGCCUUUGCGAGGGGGAUAACAGUUGGAAACGACUGCUAAUACCGCAUAAUGUCUACGGACCAAACGGGGCUUCGGCUCCGGCGCAAAGAGAGGCCCAAGUGAGAUUAGCUAGUUGGUAAGGUAACGGCUUACCAAGGCGACGAUCUCUAGCUGUUCUGAGAGGAAGAUCAGCCACACUGGGACUGAGACACGGCCCAGACUCCUACGGGAGGCAGCAGUGGGGAAUAUUGCACAAUGGGGGAAACCCUGAUGCAGCCAUGCCGCGUGUGUGAAGAAGGCCUUCGGGUUGUAAAGCACUUUCAGUUGUGAGGAAAAGUUAGUAGUUAAUACCU
rnacentral:rRNA from 1 species